AGCAGAGACGGGGUUUUACUGUGUUAGCCAGGAUGGUCUCGGUCUCCUGACCUCGUGAUCUACCCGCCUCAGCCUCCCAAAGUGUUGGGAUUACAGGCAUGAGCCACCGCGCCCAGCCGUCUUGUCAAAAUACUCUAAGACUUCAUCUGUUUAGAAUCAAAAGUGCGGAAGACCUGGGAAUUAUGUAAUAAGGAUAGCAGAAUAAUCCUCGUCACUGACAGGUGGUGAGCUGUAAAGUGUUCUUUUGUUGCAGUGGCAGAGAUUUCAGCAAUGGAGGGAAAUCCAGUGGCCAAGAUGCUUACCUGUCUCGGUGUCCAGCAUGUGUCCUGGAGGAGUGCCCCUAAAGCACCUUCAGCUGUUUAUUUAAACACUUGACUCCAGGCUCUGAUGCAUUUUAAUUUUUCAACAUUUAAAUUUAGCUGUUUUAAUGAGGUUUUAGUUUUAAUAAGUAACAAAAGAUUUUUUCAGUAUUAAUUAUCAUGAGGUCUUAAACUCUGUAAUCUAUAUAAAACUCAGAGAGAACCUGUCUUGAGUAGUUUAAAUCUCUAAUUAAAUCAGUAUUUCUACCUAGCAACAGAGUAGCAAAAGUAUUAAUUCAGUGGUUCUCAAUAGGGGUAGGGGAGCAGAUUUUGACCGCCAGCCCAGGGCACAUUUGGCAAUGUCAAGAUGUUUUUCGCUGUCAUAACUUACGGAGGGGAUAGGUGCUACUGGCAUCUAGUGGGUAGAGGUCACGGAUGCUGCUGAAUAUCCUGCAGAGCUCAGGACAGCCCCUAUCUCCAUAAAAACUUUUCUGGCCCAGAAUGUCAAUAGUGCAACUGUUGAGAAACCUUCUAUAAAAUGAUUGGUGUGGGUAAGAGAAUAUACUAAAAUGCUAAAAUAGCAGGCUUGAAAUUAUUUGCAUAUCAGGAGAGUGGAGUUUAUAACUGACUGACUAAAAACUCUGGUGUAGGACCUAUCCUCCAGAGGCGAUGCUAAAUCUGCGGAUAGGACACUAAAUCAGCAUCUGUAAAAUUUGAAACAUAUCUCCACGGUGGGGUCAGACCAAAGAAUGGUAAAUGUUGCUUUGAUUUUAAAAAGUUGGAAAUGAUGUUUCUCAGAGGAAAUACUAGGUCUCAGUUGAGCUGUGAGAGGGGGCAGGUUGCUAUGUUUUUUUCUCUACAAUAGUGCACAGUGUCUUUUGAAUGGGAGAAGUUCUGAAUACCCUACUGAAGUAGCCCCUGCUGCAGUGUUCUCUACCAUGACAUGCUCUUUUUGCUUUCCCAGCACUUUUAUUAACUUUUAAUUAAUUUUUAUUGUUCAUGUUGCUAUUGCUAUUAGUCUACUGUCUGUCUCAUUGGACUGUAAGCUCUAUGAGAGUGGCAAAUAUAUAGUAUCACUUAAUAUUGUAUGUCUAGUAGCUACCAGAGUGCCUGCCGUUAUAACGAGCAUGGAUAAAUUUAAUAUUUUUGAAUUAAAUGAAUGAAUUAAA